rnacentral:lncRNA from 1 species
GUCUCUGCCUUAGGGAAUAUGCUUCCUGCUCUUUAACUCCCUGCAAACUGGUAGUUUUUGGGGAUAAACCCUGAAAGUUCAGCUCUCCUUGCCUGUGGUGCCAAUGCUUCCUGCUCACACUGGCCUCACACCAGGUUAAUUCCACUGCUGUGGUGAUUUGCAUGAGUACAAGCACAAAAACCCUCAUGCAAGCUGGAAAGGCUUUACCAUUAUUUCCCCAACACUGAAAUAUGUGUCUGCAGUGUGGUGCUUUUUAGCACAGCAUCCACUCAGAUGGUGGGGAAUUCAUCACAGCCCAGGGUACUUCAGAAAUCAUCCCAGCCUUUGUGCUGGGGUUUAGACAUAGGCCAGGAGCUCUCAAGGACAACCACCAGCCAUGUUCUACACCUGCAAGUCUACCUGGAGGGGACCUGAAUGGCACUGCCAGAUUUCUCAUGGCUCUUCAGAAUGCCUGGGUUUGGGAUGGCCCCCGUUCUGAUGGUGUUUCAGAGCUGUUCUACAGGACUGUGGCUGUUAGUUGUGUAAUUUGGAUUUAUAUACAGUGACUGAUCAUGUGCCAAGAGUUUUAUUAUGGACAACAAAUCCCAUUCAAUCAACAGCAGAGCCCAAACAGCCAUUGUUGAGCCCCAGUGCUUAGAACAGAGUUG